rnacentral:rRNA from 1 species
CCGGCGCACGGGUGAGUAACACGUAUCCAACCUGCCGUCUACCCUUGGACAGCCUUCUGAAAGGAAGAUUAAUACAAGAUGGCAUCAUGAGUCCGCAUGUUCACAUGAUUAAAGGUAUUCCGGUAGACGAUGGGGAUGCGUUCCAUUAGAUAGUAGGCGGGGUAACGGCCCACCUAGUCUUCGAUGGAUAGGGGUUCUGAGAGGAAGGUCCCCCACAUUGGAACUGAGACACGGUCCAA